CUACAAUAUGUGGUCAACAUUUUCUCAUUAUCGUGGUGUCCUUGCGAAGUGAGACAUCAUAGCGCACUUAAUUUUGCUAAUUAAUAAAUCUUGUGGAGUUCGACUUUUUUGUAACUUAGGGCAGAAUUAGCUUUGCAGUUUGGCUCGAUUAGUCAAACUGGCACACCAAUUCUGGAUAUCAUACCCGCCACCGGUGGCGGGCAGCUCAACAAGCUCGAAAGAAAAGGAGAAACAAACCCAACUGGAGGAAGAUAAAAGGGCGGUUUCCAGAGAGCAGAGACAACUUGAGUACGAUGCCGCUGUUAAGGAACAUCAUCGAAACCAAAGGGAACAGUGGGAAAUACGACAAUUAGAUCACGAUCUCUUGCAACAGCGACAUUCGGAAAGGGAGAGAGAAAGAGAGCUUAAGGAGCAAGCGGAACAUCGACUUCUACAUGCAGACGAACAAGAGGAUUAUGAUUUGCAAU